UUCAAGCAUAAAAACUAUUUUCUUUAACUACCAAAUGACAUUACAUAUAAUCAUUUACAUAUCAUCACAAACAUACCAAAAAGGAUCAUAUAUUCUAAAUACCUAAAAGUGACCAAAAGACUUAAACUUAUCAAAGCAUUAAAAGUCCAUCAAACAAGACUUAAACCCCAAAAGCAUUUUUGUACCACAAUGAUCAUUAACACAUUCAUGAACUAUCAAUAAACAAAGCCCUAUACAUGCCAUUUAUAACCUGGCCAAAAUAACUCAAAAACUACCGAAAAGGUUGUUGGAUAGUAUGAUAGAUCUCCGACAGGCCUCUAAUCAAUCAAGCUUCCGAUAAUCUAUGAAACAAAAGAAAGUAACUAUGUAAGUCACUAGUGCUUAGUAAGCUCAUAUAAACUCAAACAUAACUUACCAUUUCUUAAGAACACAUUAUUAAAUAAGCAUAAUAUCAUUACCAAUUCCAUAAGCUUAGUAAAAUCUUAUACAAGCACCAUCAAACUCACAAGUUAGUAAGUUCAUACAUGAUACAUAUGAGUUCAAUCAUAUCAUAAGUAGAUUUCAUAUACACAUCAUUUAACUCAUUAACCUUUUAAUAAGAUCAUGAACUAUUGUUCAAUUGUAUACAUACCUUGCCUUUAACCUUUACUUACUCGUUGAACCAUCUAGAAUUACAUUGGAUGCUGUGGAAUGCUCACACAUAGUGUGCCUUUCCAUAUAACCGUAACCUUUCCCUUUCAAUAGUGCUCACACGAGUUGUGGGUCAGAAUGUUAACUACACGAUGUUGCUCAAAUGAGAUGUGGAAAAUCCGCAACAAAUGCAAGACCUCAACCAUCAGUAGGACAUUCAAGACCAGGACCCGAAACAUGAAAUCCCUAAUGACAUGUUAUUCGUAUCCUAAGAAUACUUAAGGUUCAAACGGGAUCAUUUAUCGUUCAAUUAUUCAAAGCAUCAAGUCAUGUAUAUUCAAGUCCAUUUAUAACUAACACAAUAUAACUGACAACUUUAAUACGACCCUAAUAUAAUCCCAUAGACUUUAAAUAAAUAUUAAAAUAUUUAUUCACUCAUCGAAACUGUGAUUCUGAAACCACUAUUUUCAACACCACUGAAAACGGGCUGUUACAAGUUGACAUUAUUUAAAGGGGUCACCUCCUAGUAAUUUUAGACAACUUCAACAAGUUGUCUGAAGAUAAGAUUUUGAAGAUUCAAAACUUUAUCCAAAGUCUCUAGAAAUCUUUAAGAAAUAAAAAAACUCAAAGAAACUUUGAAGAAUGUCCUACUAGUUAUGAAAAAAAUUAUUUUUUGAUCUUGUUCAACCAAUAGAAAGGAGGUUAAACUCAUUUUUCUAGAUUAAGUCUAGAAGGUCCUUGAAGUGGAAUCAUUAAUCCAAAUUCAAGUCUUAAAUACCUUUGAAUUAAAGCUCUUUCCAAUUUGGUUGUACCAAUAUAAAGGAGAAGAAAUUUCUUCUUCAAGAUCAAGUCUUAAUGACCCUUGAAGCGAACCAUAUUGGCCUAAGAUCAAGUCUAGAAAAUCCUUGGAUCAAACCGUCACUAGUUUUCAAGAUCAAGUCUCGACGAGCUUUGAAGUGGACUUUAUUAAUCCAUGAUCAAGUCUUAAAAACUCUUAAAUCCAAAUAAAAUUAAAUUCUCAAGUCAACAUCUCUCAAGACUCUUUUCAAUAUCAAGUCUCGAUGAGCCUUGAAGUGACUCAGAUCUAUCCAAAAGCAAGUCUAGAUGACCAUUGGAUUAAUGCUCCAUCAAAGAGAACAAUCAAAGGAUUUAUUGAGAGAUUGUAACUCAUGAUUUUAUUAUUUGAUCUGCUACAAAUUUUCAAGUCUUAUUUUCACAUAAAAUUUGUGUGUACAAAUUUUUGGCAUGCCUGGGACAAAUUUCAACAAAUUUGUGUGUACAAAUUUCUAUUUUGUAGAUAUGAUGGCGACUAACACUACUUUCCUUUAAGGAAAAAAUGACAUAUCUUUCAAAAUCUAUAGAAUCCAUUGUGACAAAUAUCAUAUGAAUAGAUAAUAAAAAUUCUUUCAUAAUAACUCAAAUUAAAUGUCCAAGUGGAAGCAAUCAAACUCCUACCAAUGAAACUUAACAUCAAAAUUUUAAGAUGUUGGUGAAACUAAAGUUGUCAAAAGACUUCAAAAUGUAGCUUCAGAUAUACUUAAGUAACUUGUAAAUGAUGACAUCAAAGAUUAAGUUGAAAAUGUUGCUCUACCUUUAUACACAUACACAUACACAUACAUAAAGCCAUAUACUCAAAGGAUUGAUUGUUUGAAGAUGCUUGAAAAAUAUCAACCUCAAAAGUUUCAACAGUUCGAUGGAAAAGGAACUUUACACCAACAUACUGUACACUUCAUGGGAACUUGUAUAGUGUUGAUAUUAAUAGAGAUCUCAUGGUGAAGUAGCUGUCUAAUAAUUAAUUAUUGUUAUAUAUUAUUGUUUUAUUAUUAUAGUGGUUGAAAUAUGUUCUAAACUCCUAUACUUUUCGUACAUUUGACAGUUAACUUUUGUACCAUAUUAUAUAAUGUUAUAUCAUAUCAUAUCAUAUACCUUAAGAAAAAAAUAAAAAAAAUAUCAAUUGAGCUAUUGCACUAAACUCGCAAAUAAUUGAGCCCUUGCAUUAAUAAACACAAAAUCAAUUAAGCCUCUUUCGUUAACGAUUUUCAUCUUUGACCAUGUUGACCAUUAAAAUAAAUUAAUGGACUAAUUUGAUAGCGACAUGUGGCAGGUUAUGAGUUAAUCUUAUAUUUUUCUCAUUAAAAAAUAUAAAAGAAUUUAUAAAAAAUAUAAAAUUGUUAAAAAUUAUAAAAUAUUAAAAUUUAUAUAAAUUUAUAAAAUUAUAAAAAAGUCAUAAAAAUUAUAAAAAUUAUUAUAAUUAUAAAAAAUAUAAAAUUAAUAAAACAUAUUUGAUAUAUUUAAAAUUUUAUAAGGCUUAUAAAAAUUCAUAAAAAAAUAUAAAAAUUAAAUAAAAUUAUAAUAAAAUAUAAAAAAAUUAUAAAAACUAUUGAAAAAUUAUAAUUUAUAAAAAAGUAAUUUAAACCUCUAAAAUCAUAAUAAACACAUAACAUUAGACGAACUGUUGGAUAAUAGAAAUAGUCGUCAGAUCAUUAGAGUCAUUUUCAUGUUGACUAAAAUAUUCUUGAUCUUCCACAAAUAAUAAAAUAAUUGUCGGACCUUAUCACUUUUAGUGAUAAAUUAUUAUUAUUAUUAUUUUUAAAAUUUUUAUCUUUAAUUAUUUAAGUAUAGUACAGUAUAGUCGUUUGGGCCUUGAAAAGUUGAAAAUUGUUCACUAUUGUAUGAUAUAAAAUAAUUUUGGUACGAUUAAAUACUAUGAAACUAAAAUUUCAUUAUCGAACGGUUGCAAAUAUUAACAUAUGUUAACAUGAAAUAUUCUAACAACUCAUUAUCUAAUGGUUGGUCUAUUGUCACAUGUUUAUUUUGAUUUUAGGGGUUUAAUUUUUAACAUGAGGAAUCGAUAAAUGAAUUUUUAUAAUUUUUAUAUAUUUUUAAUAUUUUAUAAUUUUUAAAAAAUAAUAAUUAUAAUUUUUUAUAAUUUCUUAGAACAUGAUUUGAAUUUAUUUUAUAAGGUUUUAUAAAUUUUUUAUUAUUUUUAUAAUUAUUGAUAAUUAUUAUAAUUUUAUUAUAUGAUUCAUUAUUUUUUUCAAAUUUUUUGUAAGGUUUUAUAAUAUUUUUGAAAUUUUAUGAAAUUUUUUUAUAAUUUUUCUAAGCGUGUAGAAGUUUUGAACAUUUUAAUAUGUUUUAUUUUUAUUAUUUUGGUAAUUAUUUUAAUAAUUUAUUUAAUUUAUUAUAAUAUUUAUACUUUUUUAUGAAUUUUAUAAAAAAAUUAUUAAAUUUUAUAAUUUAUAUUUUUAAUACUUUUACAUUUUUUAUGAUUUAUUAGAAUUUUUUGGAUUUUUUAUAAGUUUUUUAUAAAAUUUUAAAUAUUAUUUAUUAAUUUUAUAAAUUUUCAAUAAUUUAUUACAAUUUUUUUAUAAAUUUUUAAAUAUUUUUAUAAUUGUUAAUAAUUUUAUACUUUGUAUGAUUUUUGUGGUUUUUAUAAAAAAAAAUAUAAGAUUAUAUUAGAAGUUGCCACGUGUCACUAUUUAAUUGGUCUGUCGAUUGAUUUUAAUAAUUAACGUGGUUAAAGAUAGAAAUGGAGGGGCUUAAUUGAUUUUCUUAAUUAUCGGUAGGGACAUAAUUGGGUGCAAAUUUAGUGUCAUGGUAUAUAAGGAUUAAAACUAACUUAACUAACUAAAUUGAGUCAAUUCAAUCAAAUAAGUUGGUAAAUUCAAUUUUUUCAGUUCGAUUUAGGCGGUUUUAGCUUAAGUCAUGUAACGCCCUGGAUAAUUUAUUUCUGUUUCUGUAAAUAUUUAAUACAAAAUGUGUAUUUAUUUUAGUGACUAAGUGCUUUGGGUGUGUGUGUGAGGUCUUGAGUUCAAGUCCUAUGUUUGCAAAUUUUGUUAUUCUUUUAAUUCUAGCCUUACCCUUGUUAAGUGGACUUAUGUAAGGUUGUAUGUUAUUUUAUAUUAGAAUAAGUUUACUGGUUUGAGUGGUAAGGGAGUUGGUGAGUUGAGGGUCCUGUGUUUGAAUCUUGAUGCAAGCGUGGUUGUUAAUUUUUGCUCGAUUGUUUGAUAGAGUUUCGAUUGAGUUAAAAUUCUGAGGGAGUUAUGAGGAGUGGGUUAGUGAGAGAUAACUAAGGUAUUAUAUUGGCAUAUCUUCUCUUUUCUCUUCUUUUUUUUUUCAAAUUUUAAUUAGUUUCUCCCUUCUUCCAAAAUUAACGUCAGUUUCUACUCCCCCUCUACCUUUUUGUCAAUUUUUUUUUGUUCUUCCUCUUUCUGGCGUAAUCCCUAUUCCUCCAUUCCUUUCAAUUUUCUUUGUUCGUUAUCAUUUUUCUUCGCACGGUUUCAGUAAGCCUCUCAAUUCUUUUUGUUGUAGUAGUGUACGAUUGUUGUAGGAAAUCAGAACCCUGCGAUCAGUUGUGUAGGUGAAGGCGAUGAAUCUGUAGUUUUCGCUUCGAUGGUUUAACUUUCGCAUGUAGUCAUUUUGCGGUGGUAAGUGUGAAACGUUGCUCGUUUUAGUUUUGGUUGUUUUUGUAAAUCAGGUGUUAAUAGGAUUUGGGAUUCUGUUUUUAGGUGCUGGUGGUCUUGGGGCUGAUUUCGCAUCAAAAUCGUAACAGGUGUGUUCUCAAAUUGUGAAAAACGAGGUUUUAGCGAAAACCAAAAAUGCCUACUAUUGACAUCACAUGGGCGUGUGGCCGGCCGUGUGCGAGACACGACUGUGUGUUUGACGAGGGCAUGGCCAUGUGCAAGGCACGACCGUUUGAUGAUGUGGGUGUAGGCGUGUAGACCAUACGGGCUAGGCCAAGUAGAGCGUGUCGGCCUACACAAACAUGCCACACAGACGUGUAGGUUUUGGGCCGGGUCAUGUGGGCCACACAAGCAAGGUCAAUCUGGGCGCGUGGGCCUACACGGCAUGUGGGCCUAUAAUUCUAAAAUUUUCCAUAGGGUCGCACGGGUCGUUCCAAUCGAUUGUGGGCCUAUCGUAGGGCCAAUAAGGGCUAAUCAAAUCCUAAAAUUAUGUGAUCUGAUAGUCUGAUAUUCUACUCUGAGUAUGACACUAUUAUGUCUUUCUAAUUAAUCUGAUGUAUAUAUAUAUUUUUGAUAUCUGAAUAUGAGCAUGUAAGCAUGAUAAUUCUGAUUAUGUAUAACUAGUUGGGGUGAGAUUUAUAUAUGUGGAGGAAGUGUUCUGUAUGGCGAUCAUCGCCUAUAUAUUUUGGCAGCUUGGCUGCACAAUACAUGAUAUGUGUCGUAACGACACGAUAUGGUGUGUAGGGAUGGAUGAGUGUUUUUAACCCCACAUGGAGUGUUGGGAUGGUCGGAGUUGGUGUAUAGAGGAUGGGGGUGGGACUCUGCAUAUUUGUUCUAUAUAUUUGUUCUGUAUAUCUGUUUUUGUUAUCUGAAUCUAUAAAUGACUUAGGUCCGAAUCCGAAUUUGAAUCUGAAUCUGACUAUGUAUGUGAUUUAUGUAUGUAUAGCAUGUCCAUUUCCGUUCGGUUACACACUGAUUUUACGUAAACUCACAUACGUUUUCUGUUCUACUCAGGUUAUCCACAGACUUAGGCGGGUCGGUGAGACGGAGGCUCAACGGUGACCACUUGAUCGAAAACUGUUUUACUUAAUAACCCAUGGUUUUUAUUUAUUUAUAAUUAUGGUUUAAUUUGAGAGUUUUUAAUUUUUGGGACUCUCCGGACUGUUGGUUUUUAUUUUGGUUUUGGAUGCGGUUUUGACUCUUUCAUUGCAAUGCUUGUCUGGAAUCAUGGUUUUGCAAAAAUAAAGGUUUUCUGAAAACACGAACUGCAUUUCUAAAAUAUAACGGUUUUAACACUUCCGCUGUAGAUUAUGUUUUGGCGAUUGGAUUAAUUAAAUGAUGUUUUCAGUAAUAAUCAUGAAUUAAUAAGAGUUAUAAAAGUUGAAUGGUUUAACAAAACAACUCAGUUUUUCAAAACCCAUUCUUUGUGACAUCUCCGGAUUCUGCCAUAACGUCUAGGCCAAGUUUGGAGGUAUUACAUUUAGAGUUAGAGAAAUGGUUAAUUUAGUAUUGUCACUUCAAUUUCAAUUUUGAAAUUCAAAACCAUUUAGACUAAGUUAAUUAACUUUACACCUAUUAAAUAUAAUAUAUAUUUAAACCAAAACUCAAUACCAACAAAUCCCAAAUCCAAACCAAACCUUUAUUCAAAACCCAACCAUAAUAAAAAUAAACCCAAUCCAAAUUUUGGUUCUUGGAACUUUGGGUUGGACUUCGCAUGGUUUUUCAUAAUUGUAUUUAUAAUCGUAUUUAUAUAUUUGUAUGAUUUUAUAAAUUUUAGAAUAUUUUUUAUUAAUAUAUUUUAUUUUACUAUUUUAGUUUUGUUUUAAUUGUUAAAUAAAUUUUAAAAUUAUAUUUUUACAGAUAAUUUUUUAUUAAAAGAAAUAUGGUUUGAAAUUAAAUUUAUUAGUAAUGAUGUUAGUAUUGCAUAAUAAAUCAUAUUUAAUUAUUGGUGAUAAGUAUAAUACUAGUUAUCUUAUUAUUAAAUUUAUAACGCCCUAAAAUCGGGGUUAGAAUUAUUCAGGUUAGUUGGUUGAGUUAGUGGUUAGGUGGGACUGUUAAGUUAAUUUUCGCAUUUUAAAAAUAGAAUGAGCUUGUUAAUUUAGUGAUUAGUUCUUUAAAAGUUUACUUUUAGUCUUGAGUUUAAAUCCAUACGUUUGGAAUGUGGGAAUUGUUUUUUUUAAAGUGUUGUUAGUUUUAAUUCUUUAAAAUAUUUAUAAUUAAAAAUUAAAAAAGGGUUUUGACAAAUUGGAGGUUGUUUUGAAAUUUAUUUGAAUAGCAAUAAUAAAUCAAUGUGAUUGGUUGUUAAUGAUUAAUUAAAUUAUAAUUAUAAUUAUAAGGGGAAGUCACCAAUUUUUUGGCUCAAUCCCCAUUUCCACUCUCACGUCUGUUUCACUCUUUUGCUCCCAACAUUUCUGAUUUUUGUUCCUUUGGAUUUUAUACUUUUUCUUUUCCGACGUUCUUGCUUCGUUCUCCUCUGUUCUUCAAUUUAUUCUUUUUGUUCCAAUACCGUGAUUAUUUUCGUCUCGUUGGGGGGUUUGUGUGUUUUUUUUUUCACCUUCAUUUAACUCGGUUACUAUUGAGAGAAGUGUAAGUAAUGUUCUUUUCAAUUUUACAUUUGGGUUCUUAAAUUUAUUUAUGCUAAGAUUUUAAUUGAAAUACAUAUCGGCUAUGUAUAUUUGUAAAAAUUGAGUUUCAGGUUAGUGUGAAUCAAUUGUUUGUCAACACUUAAAAUCAUGUACUUAAGGUGUGUUUCUGAAACUAAUGUAGUUAAAGAUCGAAUCGUUCAUGAAUUUCAUACAAUUUUGGUGUGAUUUUGGGGCCACACAGGCGUGUGCCACACACGGACAAUCUACACGGCCGUGUACCACUACAGAAACUAGGUUAUUAUUGUCUUUCUCAUAUUCAUCUUCCUUCUCCUAUAUCUCUACAACUCUUUUUUAUUUUCUUCAAUUUUAGAAAAGAAAAUCAAGUUUAUGAUGAAAGAGAGUCGUAUAUUUAUUUAUUUAUUUAUUUCCUAAAUCGCCUUCUAAAAGUGUAAAUCAAAUCACAAAUUCCAUUGAAAAAAAAAUCUAAUAAAAAAUCCACUUUUUGAUAUUUCCAGAUUGUUUUGAUACUUGUACUCUCCGCCUAAUAUUAUGAAUUUUAUGAAAUUUAAAAGAAAAAAAAUUCUCUCUGAUGUUAGAAACAGUACCUCCAGACGAUGGCGGCAUCUGUUUGCUCCCCUCUUCUCCUUCAUUCUUGUUAUUGCUUAGCGAGGUUAAAAUAGCUAACAAAACAUUUUGGUUAUUUGAGGUGGUGAAGAGAUUACGCUUUUGAUUG
rnacentral:lncRNA from 1 species